ensembl:lncRNA novel transcript
ACUCUGUCAAGCCCAGGGAAAGGCGUGGGGUCAGAGGAUUUGGCUCUGUCACACCAUUCACUGCCUGCCCUUCUUCCCAGCGCUUCCAAGAUCUGGUUGUAUUAAACACGAGAAUGAAGAGAGGAAAACACCUUCGCCCACGGUGUGCUCUGGGGACAUCUCCAGGUGUGGGUGGUGGCGUCAGCCACAGGACAGGUAAAUAACCAAAGGGAACAUGGGUACCCAAGUCAGAUGUCCUCUUCGCUCCUUCCCUCAGGAGAACCUGCCUUUUCCUCACCAGGGAGCUGGCAACACCCAGGCUUCCCUGCAAGGGCGGGAGGGACAUCGAGGUGCCGGAUAGCCAAGGGAGCAGAGGAGGAAGGGGCUCUUCGAGUAAACUUGUUGGGAAUUAAGAUGUGCUGCUCUCAUCGCCUGGGUGUUACUUCAGUUGGAGAAAAAAGAGGCUUCACCAUUUGUCUUUGUGCAGUGUUAUCCUCAGCAAAGAGGACUGGAAACGUGGUACAUGGGAGGAGGGAGCCAGGGAUGCGAGUGGCCAGCCACGCCCAGGGAGGGGGAGCGAGGCACAGGGAUGUCUCCAGACAAAACCCCUAAAUCACAUGGAAUCAGAUACACAUAUUCUCUCUCUCUCUCUUUUUCACAUUCUCUCUCUCUCUCUGUCACUGAGCUAUUUUUCACUCAGCAUUCAGAGCCUGUGGUAUGUGUGGAUACGAAGUAGGGCUUCAGGUCUUCAUAGGUCUAAAGUCCAUAAUGCUGUCUCUAGUGCCCUCCCUUUAAAAUGUAUUUUAUAGCCUUUUAUUUGUCUUUACCAACGAAUGGAAAAGCAAUGAAGUCAGACUUUUUUGGGAUUUGCUGCAUCUAACCGGUGCCCUUGCCCUCUCCAGAGGCCUCCCUUUCCCUGGUGCGAGAGGCAUGUGCAGGGCCUGGUAAGAAAAGGAGCCUUAGACACUGACUCCAGGGGUCCCUAGCCAGCCUCAUGGGCUUUGUGACAAUCCUAACACUUAAUGGUGUGUUCUACUCUGACUUCCAAGUUCUCUUUUCUUAAAUAUGUGUCUUAUCUAGGGUGACCGUGUGACUUUUAGCCUCCAAACCAUGACAUUCUUAAGAGUGAAAGGAGGUGGGAAUAAUAAUUACUCUGGGACAAUGUGUGUAAACUGGGACCGUGGCAGGCAAGCAGCGAAGUAUAGUCACUCUUAUCUUUCAGAGUAAAUUGGGAACUUUUUCCAUGAAGGGGCCCAGUCUGUCUAUCUGUGAUAAGAUAUACUUGGGCUUUGUCCCCAAGAGAUGAGUGUCUUUUGUGUGCCAAUGAGAUGUCCGGUGGCUGGGGGUCCCUAGUUAGCUUCAGGAUGGGGGCUGCUCUCCAGAAAGACCAAGGCAGGAGUAGAGGAUUGGAACUUUCAGCCCUAUCCUGGACCUCCUGGGAAGAGAGAGGGGCUGGAGAUAGAGUCAAUCACCAAUGGCUAAUGAUUUAAUCAAUCAUGUCUAGGUAAUGGGAUCUCCAUUAAAAACUGAACAGUGAGGUUCAGAGAGCUUCUGAGUUGCUGAAUACGUUGAGGUCCUGGGAGGGUGGCAUUCCAGAGAGAGCGUGGAAGCUCCACACCGCCCCCUAGUACCUUGUCCUUUACAUCUCUUCCAUUUGCCUGUUUCUAACUUGUAUCCAUUCCAAUAAACCAGUAAUAGUAAGUAAAAUA